UGUCUGCAAGAUUCCCAGAGUUUUGCGCAUGAAGUGUUUUUGUGAUACAAGACUCUUCAUUCCCUGUAGGCUUACCAAGCUGCCUCUUCGUUUCUUGAGGACUAAAAGAAUCAGAAUCAUUUUUUCCAUUUUCAGUUUCCCCUCCUUCUAAAAGCAUUUUGUACCCAGUCUUCCUGAAGAUAACCAGCCUAAUACAAACCUUGACAGCCUCAGUUAUGGCAAUCAAAUUCCAUUUGUUCUUUUCACCAUAAAUUUGCUCAGCCACAACCUCAAUUGAUGUUUCCAAGUCUUUCAGCAAAGUAAGGCACAAUGAUAAAGG
rnacentral:misc_RNA from 1 species